rnacentral:tRNA from 1 species
UGGAGAAUAGAGUUAUAAUUCUUUCUUUUUUCGAAAGAAAAUAAAUGAGAAUUUUCCUUUU